AUAGGAGACGCCCUCCACAUGCCUUGUCUGGUGCCUGCUGAUGGUUCCUGCUGACAGAGCUUCCCACAUCCGACUCACAGGAGCUCCCUCAGGUGGAUUCUCUGAUGUACAGUGAGGGACGACUUGUGAUAAAACGUUUUCCUACAUUCUUGACAUUCAAAUCGUUUCUCACUUCCGUGAGUUACCUGAUGCCGGUUAAGGUCGCUUCUUGCAUAUAACACUGAAACUGCUGUCCAGUGCCUGGAGCUCUGCUAUACAACCCAGGAUGCUCUGCGUGUAUGGGGGACUCACUAGUCAGAGAGGCAUCAAGUUCCUCUCCAGUCCUCGUGUCAUCGCGCUCGUUAGGGGGAGGGACGCUCUGCCACACACUAAUCACAUGGUGCCACAGAUGUCUCUCUUCAUUGUCCUGGCUGGUUUCGUUCAGUUCCGUUACCUUCUGUACAUCU
ensembl:antisense Gm12256 predicted gene 12256